rnacentral:tRNA from 9 species
GAUCUUAUAGCUCAAUGGACAGAGUGUUGGGUUUCGGCCCCAAAGGUUAAGGGUUCGAGUCCCUUUAAGAUCGCCA